rnacentral:lncRNA from 1 species
CUGGCACCUGGGCACCACUCAGCCCCUGCUCACUGUCAUGACUGUCUUGGAGGUAGUAUUUUUCCACUAGAAAAAUAUUUCUCUGAUUCUUUUCAGCUCACAUUUUGGACCGUACAAAAUGGAAGAUCUUCUCUUUGACAAGCACUUUAAUAAGUAAGUUAUUUAUUUACCUGUACUUCUAUCAGCCUUUCUGUCCUGAGAUAAAAGUGAACAGAAAAAGAAUUUUUUUAUCCCUUUUAAAACCUGUUAAUUAUGUUCAAGCUACUUUUCUCCUGAUAGUGAUUACAAGUGGGAGGUAAAAAGGAUGAAAAAGACACUGAGAUGGACUUAAACAGUAGUUUGCCAUUUUAUUCGUAAAAGGGAGAAAACACAGAAAUCUCUGUGAAACUUUCUUGAAACUAAAUUUAUGUAUUUAUAUUAGGAAUUACCACUGGGACCAUGCUGUGAAAUCAGGAGAUCUGGCCAUGGACACCUGACAGAGUUUGCAUCUCUGCUGCAACCUUUGGACAGAAACAUUUUAUUUUUGCCCUAAUAAUCCUUGAAAUCUUACCACACUUGGCUUCAUUUUCAGCAAAAUAAAGGAGUCUCUCCAUUGCCACCCAGCACAGUGGAUGCAGGAACAAUCCUGAUUUAAAGAUGAGAAGUAAUUACAACACAACUGUAAGAGCUGAAAGUACUGGUGAGAACAAUGUAUACAAUCCAUCAACACUCCAGUGGCAGCCUCAGGCCAGCUCUCAUGUCUCCAGGUGCAACAGCUGA